CUCGUGAGAACGAGGUGGCGCGGCGGAGUGGGCGUGGAGCAGAAUUGAAGCCAGCUCUUUUGGAGGGAUGAACAUGGGAUGAGUUAAAGCAAGGCUCAUUCAAGCUUUCAGGGUGGUUCCAAUUCAGUCAGUUCUUCCAGUUGUGGAUCCACAUCCAUGGGCUCUCCAUCACUGUCAAGAAGGGCCAAGUAUAUGGGCCCAUUGGUACAGAGUCUCCCUAUUGGCCGCCACUUCUUGUUAGGAGAAGACUCAAUCAACCCCUUUAUAAGAAGAUAGAACACAAGUCUCACUUGCAAAAAGAGCUCAGGUAGGAGAACUGACCUCAGCCCUCCUUGACGGUUCUGGAAAAUAUUUCUCUCUUGGCUGCCUAAAAGCGAUGUGC
ensembl:lncRNA